UAUAUUCUAGUGUAUGAUGCACAUAAAUUUUUGAUGUUUAUAGGAUUAGUUUAAAUCUAUUGAAUAUAA
rnacentral:tRNA from 1 species